rnacentral:tRNA from 1 species
CCAUCCUUAGCUCAGUUGGUUAGAGCUCGGAGCUUAUACCUCCGCGGUCCCUGGUUCGAGUCCAGGAGGAUGGA